rnacentral:rRNA from 1 species
UAGUCAUAUGCUUGUUUCAAAGAUUAAGCCAUGCAAGUCUAAGUAUAAACUAUUACUAUGGUGAAACUGCGAAUAGCUCAUUACAACAGUUAUUACUUGUACGUCUGUCACUGUACAUGGAUAUCCAUGGUAAUUCUGGUGCCAAUACAUGCACGGAGCUACUCAGUGAGUGGUACAGCAUAAGUUACCGAGAAAGGGUUUACUCUUACGGUGAACGUUAUGUUUAUUCAAUCGAUUUUCGAUGGGACGUUGAGGUUUCUGCCCUAUCAGCUAUCGUCGGUACGGUAUUGGCGUACCGAGGCGGUGACGGGUAACGGGGAAUUAGGGUUCGAUUCCGGAGAGGGAGCCUGAGAAAUGGCUACCACAUCUAAGGAUGGCAGCAGGCGCGCAAAUUACCCAAUCCCGAUUCGGGGAGGUAGUGACAAAAAAUAGCAACACGAGGCUAUGCUUCGUGAUUGCAAUGAGAUGGAACUAGAAAGUUGUUCGAGUAUCAAUU